CCCAGUGUUUAGACUACCUGUUCACUGCUCCAAGAUUGUACAGUAGUCUGCACAUUGGUUA
rnacentral:pre_miRNA from 1 species